rnacentral:rRNA from 1 species
CAAGAGGGGAUCCCUUCGGGGUGAAGCAGCCGGCCUAACGCUCGACCCCAUGCUGGUGCGGUUAGCGUAUUAACAGGUGUGACGCAGGAAGGUAGCCGUACCGGGCGAUGGUUGACCCGGGGUAAGGACGUAGGGCGAGAGAUAGGCAAAUCCGUCUAUCACAUAGCCUGAGAUCUGACGCAUACCCCUCACGGGGGAAUUCGGUGAUCCUAUGCUGCCAAGAAAAGCAUCGACGCGAGGUUCCAGCCGCCCGUACCCUAAACCGACUCAGGUGGUCAGGUAGAGAAUACCAAGGAGAUCGAGAGAAUCGUGGUAAGGAACUCGGCAAAAUGCCCCCGUAACUUCGGGAGAAGGGGGGCCUGAGGCGUGAAGGGACUUGCUCCUGGAGCGUUUGAAGGCCGCAGAGACCGGUGGGAAGCGACUGUUUACUAAAAACACAGGUCCGUGCGAAGUCGCAAGACGAUGUAUACGGACUGACGCCUGCCCGGUGCUGGAAGGUUAAGAGGAGCGGUUAGCGUAAGCGAAGCUGCGAAUUGAAGCCCCAGUAAACGGCGGUGGUAACUAUAACCAUCCUAAGGUAGCGAAAUUCCUUGUCGGGUAAGUUCCGACCUGCACGAAUGGCGUAACGACUUCCCAGCUGUCUCAACCGCGAACUCGGCGAAAUUGCAUUACGAGUAAAGAUGCUCGUUACGCGCAGAAGGACGGAAAGACCCCGUGACCUUUACUACAGCUUUGUAUUGGUGUUCGGUGUGGCUUGUGUAGGAUAGGUGGGAGACUGUGAAGCUUGGACGCCAGUUCAGGUGGAGUCAUUGUUGAAAUACCACUCUGGUCACUCUGGAUAUCUAACCUCGAACCGUGAUCCGGUUCAGGAACAGUGCAUGGUGGGUAGUUUAACUGGGGCGGUUGCCUCCCAAAAAGUAACGGAGGCGCCCAAAGGUUCCCUCAACCUGGUUGGCAAUCAGGUGGCGAGUGUAAGUGCACAAGGGAGCUUGACUGUGAGACUGACAGGUCGAGCAGGGACGAAAGUCGGGACUAGUGAUCCGGCAGUGGCUUGUGGAAGCGCUGUCGCUCAACGGAUAAAAGGUACCUCGGGGAUAACAGGCUGAUCUUGCCCAAGAGUCCAUAUCGACGGCAUGGUUUGGCACCUCGAUGUCGGCUCGUCGCAUCCUGGGGCUGGAGUAGGUCCCAAGGGUUGGGCUGUUCGCCCAUUAAAGCGGUACGCGAGCUGGGUUUAGAACGUCGUGAGACAGUUCGGUCCCUAUCCUCUGUGCGCGCAGGAAAUUUGAGAGGAUCUGUCCUUAAUACGAGAGGACCGGGACGGACGAACCUCUGGUGUGUCAGUUGUUCCGCCAGGAGCACCGCUGAUUAGCUACGUUCGGAACGGAUAACCGCUGAAAGCAUCUAAGCGGGAAGCCGACCUCAAGAUGAGAUUUCCAUGACUUCGGUCGAGAGGCUCCCAGCUAGACUACUGGGUUGAUAGGCGGGAUGUGGAAGCGAGGACUAAAGACUCGUGCAGCUGACCCGUACUAAUAAGCCGACAGAUCAAA